CUCAGAGGAGAAACUUCACUUUAGCCUUCCAGGCUGCAGAGAGUGUGGGCAUCAAAUGCACUUUGGACUUAAAUGAGAUGGUGCACACAGAGAGGCCGGACUGGCAGAGUGUGAUGACCUAUGUCACUGCGAUAUACAAGUACUUUGAGACCUGACCCCCCCCCCCCCCCCCCCCCCCCCUGCAGCACAAUCGGAGCCACGCCAGCCCUCCUGAGCUCUCAGCAACCUCUCAACUGUUAUACCUCACUGCCCCCCCCCCCCCCUCCCCCCCCACACCACAGAGUCGCGCUGCAUGACGGCCCUCAGUAUUGCGCUGACCCCCCACCACACACAGCUCCUCCAUCCUUCCUGCGCAGCGUAGGCUUCUUGUGUAGCGCUGCAGUGCGAGGGCCACUGUUACAGUAACGCUGCUGAACGUACAAAACAACCAGCGAUGGAACGCCAAACGUCCGCUCUGCCUUCGCUUGACGUCUGAAUGAGCAGCAAGUCUCCGUGCCUUCUCUCCGGCCUCAUUUAGAUUCCUUCAACCUCGUUUCCGGGUGUCGACGGGGAAUUCCUGCAAAUCUGACGUCAGAGGCCUGAAAGUAUAUUCUAAACACUAUUACAGUAUUCCUACGAAGCUGUUUACGUCUCUAAUGACUACAAAUAUUCCCGUCUAUGUGCAGACUGUUGCAACGUAUACAAAGCGUGCUCCUGAAACAAGAGUCUCCUCUGCACGUCCCACAUGUCUCAAAUGGGAAGUGCUUCAUUCCAAAUGAGCCAAACAUCCAUCUGAAUAUUGUGUUCACAUGAUGCAGCCUGGAACACGUCAUGUUCUGAAUGACCCGUUUGCAUGUGAAGUCUUCUUCACAGUCACAAACUAAAGUCAGUGAUGCUGGAAUUCCCCGAAAACCCUGAAGGUUUCCUCGGACAGGAAGUGCGAGCGCCUUUUUGCACCAAGUCUUCCGGACGUCAGGACGCAGACGUGGAUUAUGUGCCUGUGUGAGUUUAAUGCAGGAGAUCAGGACACGAUGUUCGUGUCUUUUCACUACAGUUUGUGAAGCUGAAGAUUUGAGGAGUCGUUGCCAAAUAUGUUUCGGAGCCUUGGAUGACUUGUGAUUGUUCCUCGGCUGCGGGCUGCUGUCCAAGCACAGGACGUGUACGACAUCCCUGCACACGUUGUUAGUCAUGUGCUGCACUCACACUUCCUUCAUCAUCGUGCAGCAUCAUUCCAUUAACCAAAGUGUGAGCGACUAGUUUUUAGUCUUUUGAUAAAAGUGUGUUGUUGACAUUUAACUUCUGUUUGGAUCGGAAACUUAAAGGGAAACUUUGGUAUUCUUCAAACUGGACCUUUAAUUUCCCAUGUUGGAGAUUGUUUUGUGGAAGCACGUCCACUGAAGGCGUUUGUUUCUGCUCCGAGAGGAGCGACAGAGAAUCCGUUCUCUUUGCGUGUCACUCGAUCGGGUGUUUGUCGCGUCCACGUCGUGGAAAGCAGCUAAACAUUCAGCCGGGACGUUACAGUCUUUUACGGGACGUCUUCAGUGCGAGCUGUCGGUGCAGAGACGACCUCAGUGGACGUGUUUUAAAUAAUCUUUUACACACAAACAUGAAAAUAGAACCCAGGUUGAAAGACACCGACGCUGCUCUUCGAGCUUCAUCAGCCUGAAGGUCAAACAGAAUCUCUCACGAUGAACUUCCUGUCGGGGACGUGUGCGCUCGUUCAUACCAGACGCACCUUUCUGAUCGCCGCUGCGUCGGAUCAAAGAGCCUUCACAUCGAUGUGAGGAUGGAUUCCUCGUUCACUCGAGUGAAUCUUCAAUAAGUUGAACUUCUUUAACAGCAGAUGUUGCAAAACCUUUUUUUAUUUUUUGUUGCAGAAAUGAUUCGACAUUUUGCCGUCGACUCGUCUCGUGUUCGUACUGACGCUGUCGGACCAACGCGUACUUUAUAUUCUUUAUUGCACACGUCAGACGUUAAUGUGCGAAACACUUAAAGUCCCACGUUUAGUCUUAAUAAGCAGGAUGCAAACAUUUAAUGGUUUCUAACUGUCAAUGAUAACUUCUCCUAUAAAGACUUAUUCUUAUUAUUAUUAACACUGUUUCACUUCUUUAUCUCUUUAUGCAGAAACCUCCACUUUGUGUCCACAGGAGGAGUUAUUACUUUAAUAAACAUCUAAAUUAUAGUGAAUAGUGAUAAUAAUGAAACUUGUAUAAACUUCUUAUUAAAUGUUUAUACACUGCUUAUAAAUGCUGGUGGGGGUUAAAGUGUCACGUGUGAUGUGCUGCGUGUGCCUCGACAAGUUCUCUAUUUAUUUACAUGGUUUCCAUCGUUUGUGUGUGAAGUCGUCCUCGUCGCAGCUGCACUGAGAUCAGCUGUUUGUAUCUCCCGCCUUAACGUUCAGCCGAGGCGUGCGAGGCGUCAAGCUGCAGGUUCUCUUCGCUCACAGGUGUGUCGCAGUGUGCGAAUGGUUUCCUUAAUAAAACAAUGUCUUCCUCGUUGGUGGUUUGAGGAGCACCGACAGUAACGGUGGCUUCACACGGCUCUGAUUUCAGAGUCUGAUCGUAUCAGAAGCAGAAUCAGAAACUACGAGUCAGAAGGCAUCCUGCCGUCUGCCGAGCCGCGUCACCACGACGUGUGCAGCAGCUUCCCUUCUGUGUGCCGCCGUUAUUUAAAGACAGCGUUGGCGCUCUGUUAAAGGAAGAGUUCACCCACAAAAGGACAAUCUCAAUCCUCCAACGAAGAAUCAAACGGAGAAAAGUCUCGAUGCAUGAAACUAUCUGAGAACGUGUGUUUACAACCUCACUCGGAGUAAUCCUGCAGCUCUGGAAGAAACGCAGAGCGAUGACUUGUGGGUGAACUCUUCCUGGUUUGUUGACGCCAUGAAGCUAAAGGAUGAUCAUCCAACAGUUGGUGGUUAUGUGUUCUGCUUGGUUCCCGUCAGGAGCUCCAGACGGAUUGGAAGUCGCUCCAUCCUGGAGGUGGAAUGUGUUUUGUGUCACGCGUCACGACUUUACGAGGUCCAGCGUGUGCUGAUGGAGAGACGGCCGGAGAAAGCUAGAAGAAGAAGAAGAAGAAGCACAUUCCACCUCCACGCGGUGCAGAGCCGCGACAUGUCUGGGGAAUGUGAACAGAGCUUUGUCGUCAUCACGCUACGUUUAUUUUUCUUUACUUGAAGAUGCUCUGAUGAUUCCACUGAACCUGCUUUAGUUUGUUUCCCAUGAUGCCUUUUGUUUUAUGCCACAUUUAGUUUUCCCCUGAUCACUGUGUGUGUGUGUGUGUGUGUGUGUGUGUGUGUGUGUGUGUGUGUGUGUGUGUGUGUGUGUGUGUGUGUGUGUGUGUGUGUGUGUGUGUGUGUGUGUGUGUGUGUGUGUGUGUGUGUGUGUGUGUGUUGUGUGUGUGAGAGACUAAGCUACAGUAUUAAGUGCACACUACGAUGAUAAUCUGGUUUUAUGUUAUUGUUUUCUGACGAUAGUUAUAAAACCUUUGAAACAAA